GUGAGCUGCGUGUUUGAAUAAAAGGAAAUGGUGGUCUUGAGGAGACCAUGAUGGGGCUUGCUGAAGUGUCUCUGAUCUAGAGGAGAGACAACGUCUCUAGCGACUGAAAUGCUUGUGUCUCUCCCUUGGAGAGUGGAGGCUACCUGGUGACCAGUUUGCUCUCUUGCACUUGCUUUUCCAUGCUCACCACUUUCUUAUUAAUGCAGUUCCAUUCUGAGCACAGGCCCCUGUAGCGUGUGGCACCUGGCUUCUACAGCUUGGACAACUCCUCCAGUAUCCAGCUCCUGCAAUGCAAGCGACUUCUUCAACAUCAGGGUCCUGCUGAUGCAAGCCAGGAUAGAUGGCUUCUUUAGCAUCCAUCUCACCCAGUGCACGGUGGCCAGAAUCAUCCGAAGGCCAGCAGCCUCCCCUGGCACUCCCACUACAGCACAAAUCGUGGGCUGGUUAUCCUCCAUUUGCCACUGCAGAUCCGCCGUCCUCCAUUCUCCACCCUGCUCCACGCACCGGAAGGCUGACCUCUGCAGAGUCCUUGUUGCUCCACCUUCCAGCUCAGCUCCGGUAACGGGACACUGGAAGGAGAGGAGAGAGCAGGAGGAGAGAGAUUGUGCGUCGUGCCUCGUGCCUUGUGCUUCGGAAGCCUACCCGGCCACAGCAGACAUCUAGGCAGGCAGGCCCACAGGGACGGCCUCCUUACCGUCCUGGCUCCCUGAUGACAUCCCUGCAGGCUUCCCUCUUGAAUCAGCCACUGCGAAGUGAGGGCUAGGAGAGAACAGACGACACUUCUUGCCCCGACCGGUCUUCCCUUCCUGUUCUUUCCACCUUUGGCCGAGACACCACACAGAAGUGCAUUUUGGUUCUGUUUACAUUCUCGUCAGAAGGCGUGCUCACUUCCAGGCAGCGCUUCUCACACAGUGAGGGACGUAAAGAUCAUCUGGGGCCCUUGUUAAAGCACAGGUUCCGACUCGGUCAUUCUAAGGUGGAGCCUGAGACCGGGCCUUUCUAAGAAGCCCCUGAUCCCACGGGAUGGAAGGGGCCCAGUCCUGUAUUCUAGGCUUAGUGGGAUACUGCCGAAUCUGUGAAGAGGAUCAGAACUCCAGUGUCAGAAUUAAUCACUGCUCCCUUCGUUUCCCCAACACCUCGCUCAGACCUUGAUACAGCUGCUGACAGCUGGACUCGCCUGCACCUCUGCCGCCCCGGGGCUGCUGGACAAAUCAUCUUUGGAGCCCUAAUACCUGGCAUGGGGGAU
rnacentral:lncRNA from 1 species